AGAAUGGAUGCACUGUGGGUGCCUUGUGUGGUUCCAAUUCUAUCUUAUGUAGGAGUCUUUCUUUUAUGAGUAUUAGACUGAUUCGAAGCAUAUUUGAAUUAAGAGUCUUAUACUUAUUGGAUCAUAAAAAUUAUCUAUAAAUAGAGAGGGUCUGUACCUAUGAAUGCAUUGAAAUCAAUAAGAAACAAAUCAGAUUGAGAGAAGAGAGAGAGAGAGGCGUGAG
rnacentral:lncRNA from 1 species